UACGUAGGGUGCGAGCGUUAAUCGGAAUUACUGGGCGUAAAGCGUGCGCAGGCGGUUUUGUAAGCCAGAUGUGAAAUCCCCGGGCUUAACCUGGGAAUGGCAUUUGGGACUGCAAGGCUUGAGUGCGGCAGAGGAGACUAGAAUUCCUGGUGUAGCAGUGAAAUGCGUAGAUAUCAGGAGGAACACCAAUGGCGAAGGCAGCACUCUGGGACGGUACUGACGCUGAGACGCGAAAGCGUGGGGAGCAAACAGG
rnacentral:rRNA from 1 species